AAUAAACUUGGAAAAUUAUAGUCACAUGUCCAAAGCAAUAUGUAGCAUGGCAUGACCAAUUUAUUACACAUGAUUAAUAUACCAAAACUAUGUUAUACUUAUAUUCGUUACUCUAGUGGUGUCCAAGACGGAAAGUGAACAAUUUAAGGAUUUAUAGAAAAGCCAAGAGGAACUUUAUACUAAGUUAAUUUUUUUGAACCACUUAUCAUAUGAUAUGAUAUCAUAAACAAUGCAAUUUAUUUGCCCAUUAAACUUGUAUUUAUGAGAAAUAAAACACAGAGAAUUGAAUUUUCUCUUUGUUAAGUAACAUAUUGCUUCUCAAAACUAGCUAGGCCUAUCGUUGCCAACAAAGAUAAUGAGAUAUGGAUUUAUUGACUAAAGAAAAGCUUAAUAUAUGGGAACCAUCAUUGCUAGUUUAAAGGGGUUAUUAAGGUCUAACCAAAACCAAUCUUGUAAGGUUUCAAGUGUUUUAGUAUGUACUCACUCUCAUUAAUUUUAUCUAUCAACUCUAUUUGAAGGAGUGUCAAGAUUUAUAGUCUAAAUUUUGUAUUUGAUUCGUAUGCUAAUUAUCUCUCUAGUUCUUAUUUAUCAAACUUAUCAUAUAUUAGAAAUUUUAAAUAAAUAUUGUAAUUUUCAAUGAAAAGAUAAUAAUAAUUUUUUCAAAUUUCUCAUUAUGUACUAAUUACAUUUCUAGUACCUUUCUUCAUAUAUAUACUUGUGGAGCAAUUGUGCACAACCAACAUAUAUAAACAAAGUGUUGCUGAAUACUAGUGAUGAAACUACCAUUUAUACCUAUAUAUUUAUAGCAAUUAUUACUCACAUUUGGAUAUAUAUACAACUAAAUGUGGAUAUGCAUACAUCUAAAAGUUGCUGCAUACAAUUAAAUGAAAAAAGUAAUAGAUAUCAUAAUUAUCUUAGUUAUUUAAUCGUGUAAGUUAAAACAUAUCUAUUAUAAAAAUUUCUUUGGUUUUAUAU
rnacentral:lncRNA from 1 species